rnacentral:lncRNA from 1 species
CUAAAAAUGUGGGUGUGAUAGAUAUGCCUGACUUAAUCAUUCCACAUUGUAUUCAAAAAUUAUAAUACCACUCCAUUUCUCAUAAAUAUAUACAACUAUAAUUUGACAAUGUAUAUAUAUAUUUUAAAUAAUUAUAUAUGGAUUUCAUUCUGUGUAAUAUAGAAUGAAAGCUUGCUGUUAAAUCUGGCGUAUGCCAACUGUACCCCUACAGAUAAGAAAUGAAUUGGGACCCUUGUCUUUUAUGAAAUGAAUAUUGCACAAUAUUAAGAAGUUGCCAAGGUAAUAAUUCUGUAAAGUCUUUCUCUUCUUGCCUUUGUCUCAGUGAGCCGAGUUGGGGCUUUAUGUGGUAAAAGCUGUUGUACAUGUUUCUAAGUUACUUUACCCCGUGUGGCUCCACUGCCACCUGCUCCUUCAAGGUACGUUCUCUUGUCAAGGACUGUCCUCCGGGUAAGAGAAGACAGGGCCCAUCAAGUCCAUUUUCAAAAGUAGCCUCUGCUCAGGACCAACCACUUGUGUCUUCAUUGCAACAGAACUCCUUUCUGUGAACUUGCUACAAAGUAGUUGUUAUCAGUUAGGGUUCAGGGGAGGAACAGAUUUAAUGUAAAAUAUAUACGAUUAUAUAAAGGAUUUUAAAAGUAGGCCUACAGUGGCUUCCUGUGGAAUCACAGGAGGAGGAUUGCAAAUUGGCCAUCUCCACGCUAGACAGCUAGAGGAUCCAGUCGAGGGUCAAAGGCCUGGAGGUCACUGCAGAGUGUAGUGAAAGUCCAUAUCAGAAAACUGAAGGGUCUGCAUCGGAAGGAUAAAGCAUCUUCACAGAAAGUCUGAAUGACCUGGGGACAAAAAUCCAAAGGCAGUCUCGACAUGCACUUGCAGGUGCAUACAUAAAGUCCUGAGCAAACUGUGAACCUCCAGAGGCCGGCAGAAUGGCGGACUCCCAGGAGACCCUGCGGCCCAAGACAGCUGUGGGCAACAAGCCCCGAAAUCUCGCGAGAUUUCUUGAGCACCAUCCACGCCUACGAGCUUCCAUCAGAGCAGUCUUCUCUGGAUGUGGUGGAAAUCCUUUGAGCAUUAUUAGGACUCAAAGCUGGAUGUCCUUGACAGGGAGACUCAGGAGUCUGGACAGAAUCCUGCAGGCAACGUGGAACCACAAAGCCUAA